GACGAACGCUGGCGGCGUGCUUAACACAUGCAAGUCGAACGGAAAGGCCCUGCUUUUGUGGGGUGCUCGAGUGGCGAACGGGUGAGUAACACGUGAGUAACCUGCCCUUGACUUUGGGAUAACUUCAGGAAACUGGGGCUAAUACCGGAUAGGAGCUCCUGCUGCACGGUGGGGGUUGGAAAGUUUCGGCGGUUGGGGAUGAAUUUGCGGCUUAUCAGCCUGUUGGUGGGGUAGUGGCUUACAACGGCUUUGACGGCUAGCCGGCCUGAGAGGGUCACCGGCCACAUAGGGACUGAGAUACGGCCCAGACUCCUACGGGAGGCAGCGGUGGGAAAUAUUGCACAAUGGGCGGAAGCCUGAUGCAGCAACGCAGCGUGCGGGAUGACGGCAUUCGGGUUGUAAACCGCUUUCGCCUGUGACGAAGCGUGAGUGACGGUAAUGGGUAAAGAAGCACCGGCGAACUACGUG
rnacentral:rRNA from 1 species